rnacentral:rRNA from 1 species
AUUAAACGCUGGCGGCAUGCCUUACACAUGCAAGUCGAACGGCAGCACGGGGGCAACCCUGGUGGCGAGUGGCGGACGGGUGAGUAAUACAUCGGAACGUGCCCUGGAGUGGGGGAUAACGUAGCGAAAGUUACGCUAAUACCGCAUAUUCUGUGAGCAGGAAAGCAGGGGAUCACAAGACCUUGCGCUCUGGGAGCGGCCGAUGUCGGAUUAGCUAGUUGGUGGGGUAAAGGCCUACCAAGGCGACGAUCCGUAGCGGGUCUGAGAGGAUGAUCCGCCACACUGGAACUGAGACACGGCCCAGACUCCUACGGGAGGCAGCAGUGGGGAAUUUUUGGACAAUGGGCGAAAGCCUGAUCCAGCCAUGCCGCGUGAGUGAAGAAGGCCUGGUGU